rnacentral:RNase_P_RNA from 1 species
AGAGUUGGUUAAGCAGCCGCUGCUCACCGAGAAUGGUGGGUGGAGGAAAGUCCGGGCUCCACAGGGCAGGGUGCCAGGUAACACCUGGAAGAUGUGAGUCUAUGGAAAGUGCCACAGAAAAUAUACCGCUUCUUACAUUAGUGAGAGGUAAGGGUGAAAUGGUGCGGUAAGAGCGCACCGCGCUAUUGGUAACAGUAGUGGCAGGGUAAACCCCAUCCGGAGCAAGACCAAAUAGGGGAACAGUGGCUUAAGUCACGGGUGCUGCCCGCACAAGUUCCCGGGUAGGUCGCUUGAGGUGUAUGGUAACGUGCAUCCCAGACGAAUGGCUGCUCAAGACAGAACCCGGCUUAUCGACCAGCUCUUUCA